rnacentral:rRNA from 1 species
AAUCAACGCUGGCGGCGCGCUUAACACAUGCAAGUCGAACGAGAAAGCAGGAGCAAUCUUGUGAGUAAAGUGGCGUACGGGUGAGUAACACGUGGAUCAUCUACCUCUUUGUGGGGGAUAACUCUGGGAAACCGGAGCUAAUACCGCAUAAGUCCGUGAGGAGAAAGCAGCAAUGCGCAGAGAGAGGAGUCCGCGGCCGAUUAGUUAGUUGGCAGGGAAAAGCCUACCAAGACAAAGAUCGGUAGCCGGCCUGAGAGGGCACACGGCCACACUGGCACUGAAACACGGGCCAGACUCCUACGGGAGGCAGCGAGUGGGGAAUCUUGCACAAUGGGGGCAACCCUGAUGCAGCGACGCCGCGUGAGCGAUGAAGCCC